rnacentral:rRNA from 1 species
UACGUAGGCAGCGAGCGUUGUUCGGAGUUACUGGGCGUAAAGAGCGUGUAGGCGCCAGACAGGUCCGUUGUGAAAACUCGAGGCUCAACCUCGAGAUGUCAUCGGAAACCAUCUGGCUAGAGUCCGGAAGAGGAGAGUGGAAUUCCUGGUGUAGCGGUGAAAUGCGCAGAUAUCAGGAAGAACACCGGUGGCGAAGGCGGGUCUCUGGGCCAUAACUGACGCUGAGGAGCGGAAAGCAUGGGGAGCGAACAGG